UGCCAUAUACCUUUAAAAUGUCUGACGAAAUGCAAUUCAUGUUUCUUGAACAGCAUGAAGGAAAGCCAUACUGCCAUAAACCGUGUUACUCCGCCUUGUUUGGCCCCGGAGGGUUCGGUCGCGGAGGAGCUGAAAGCUACAAAUACUAAACAAUAUCUCACUCAUCUGAAAUGUCCAAAGUUAUUGCCAACAACAACAGCA